GGGCAAAAGAAUAUUUUCCUUUAUAGGCUCCUAUAAUACAUACACCUAUAGAACAAAAUUUCUGUUUUUGCUUUUAAUCAUCUCUUUGCCUAAUAUACUGUACUUCAAAAACAAAACCCUAAGAUUGAUUCGCCGCCAUAUAUUUUUUUUCACCUACAUAAUAUUACCCUUUUGUUUAAGACACUUUCUUGAAGUUUAGUUAAUCAAAGAUUGGAUUUUUAUAGGAUUCAGCUUUGUACAUGUGGGGUUUUGUAAGUUUUUGAGGUUGAUAUGUAGAGUUUUGGUUUUUUUAGUUUUUGUUGAGUAUUAAUUAUAUUUUGUUGUGGACUGACUGUGUGUGAAUUGGUGUUUGAUCAUGGAUGUUGAGAAAAGAGCUUUCUUGGAAUUUUAAUUGUAUCAAAGAUUGGAUUUUUAUGAGCUGAAAGGUUUUGUUUUUUAAGGUUGUCCAUGUGGGGUUUUGUAGUUUUUAAGGUUUAUGUUACAAAGUUUUGAUUUUGAUAGGUUUUUUGGGUAGCUUUCUUGGAGUUUUAUUUGAUGAAAAAUUGGAUUUUUAUGAGCUGAAAGGUUUUGUCCACGUGGGGUUUUGUAGUUUUUAAGGUUUAUAUAACAAAGUUUUGAUUUUGGUAGCUUUCUGGGGUUGUUAAGGAUUGUGGGUAUUGAUUAUAUUUGACAAAGUUUUGAUUUUUAUAGGUUUCUUGGGUUGUUAAGGAUUGUGGGUGGUGAUUAUAUUUGUUGUGGGAUGAGUUUUUGAAGAUAUGGUAUCUGAAUUAGGUAGGAGACCAAUGAUGGGAAACAAUGAAAAUUCAUUUGGAGAUGAGUUUGAGACAGAAAUCGGUAUGUUACUUCGUGACCAACGAAGACAAGAAGCGGAUGAUCGCGAAAAAGAGCUGAAUAUGUAUAGAAGUGGAUCAGCUCCACCUACUGUUGAAGGUUCAUUGAGUGCAGUUGGUGGAUUGUUUAACAAUAAUGGUUUCAGGUCUGAGGAGGAGUUAAGGUCUGAUCCUGCUUAUUUGUCUUACUAUUACUCGAACGUUAAUCUUAAUCCUAGGUUGCCUCCACCACUGAUGUCCAAAGAAGAUUGGCGGUUUUCGCAGAGGUUGCAAGGAGGAGGAAGUUCUGCUAUUGGUGAUAGGAGGAAGGUGAACAAGAAUGAUAAUGGUAGUAAUGGCGGGAGGUCAUCACCCUUUUCGAUGCCUCCGGGAUUUAAUAACUCGAAAAAAGCUGAGAGCGAGAACGAGGCGGAUCAGUUGCAGGGUUCAGUGGAAUGGGGUGGUGAUGGACUGAUCGGUUUGCCAGGACUAGGACUAGGUGGUAAAAAGAAGAGCAUUGCUGAAAUGUUCCAGGAUGACUUCAGCCGUGUAUCACCUGCUCCUGUUCACCCUUCACGCCCAGCUAGCCGAAAUGCUUUUGACGGAAGUGGUGAUAAUACAAUAGGUUCAGCAGAAGCUGAGCUUUCUCAUCUUCAUCACGAGCUCUCUUCUUCAAAACCUUUAAGGUCGGAUGAGGUGCCUGCUUCCUAUUCAUAUGCUGCUGCCUUAUCAAGAAGUACCACUCCUGAUCCCCAGCACAUUGUGAGGGCUCCUAGUCCUUCCCUCACUCCUAUUGGUGGAGGGAGGGAGAAGAGAAGUGUUAGCAGUCCAAAUCCAUUUAAUGGUGUGUCAUCGUCUCACAGAACAGAGUCUGCAGAGCUUGUUGCUGCUUUAUCUGGCAUGAAUAUAUCUAAUGGUGGACAGAAUAACACGAAGCAGCAUGAUUUCUUGAAGCAAUCCGAAUCCACUCAGUUUAAUAUGGCUUCUACUGCUCAGUCUGCAAAAGCACCCUAUUCUGUCGCUGUUACUGGCCACAAUGGAAGCUCAGACCCCCAAGGUGAUCUGCACAAAUCUGCUUAUUCCAAUAGUUCAUACCUCAAAGGAUCCCCAACAUCGGGAUUGAAUGGUGGAGGUGGUGGCGUACUGUCUCAAUAUCCGCAUUUGGAUAGUCCAAAUUCAUCCUUCUCUAAUUAUGGUUUAAGUGGUCAUCCUCUCAGUCCAAUGUCAAGUCAUCUUGGCAACUAUAAUUUGCCACCUUUAUUUGGAAAUGCUGCUGCAGCAUCAGCGAUGGCUGUACCUGGAUUGGACUCUCGAAUGUUGGGGGGAUCUAACUUAAGCGCUGCAACCUCAGAGCAAACUCUCAGCAGAAUGGGAAAUCAAUUCGUGGAUCCUAUGUAUCUUCAGUACUUGACAGCUGAAUAUGCCGCGCAGUUCGCUGCUCUUAAUGAUCCUUCCUUGGACAGGAACUAUAUGGGUAAUUCAUAUGUGGACUUGCUUCAGAAAGCUUAUCUUGGUAACGUGCUACCUCAGAAAUCUCAAUACGGGGUCCCAUUGAGUAGCAAAAGCGGUGGUUCAGGUCAUCAUGGCUAUUACGGAAAUCCUGCAUUUGGAGUUGGUUUAUCAUAUCCUGGUAGUCCUUUAGCAAGUCCAGUUAUUCCAGGCUCUCCGGUAGGACCCGGUAGUCCUAUGAGGCAUAGUGAUUAUAAUAUGAGAUUUCCUGGUAGAAUGAGAAACAUAGCAGGAGGUGUCAUAGGACCAUAUCACUUGGAUAACAUGGAGAACAGCUUAGCGUCCUCCCUACUGGAAGAGUUCAAAAGCAACAAGGCCAGGUGUUUUGAACUUUCAGAAAUUGUUGGUCACGUUGUUGAGUUUAGUGCCGACCAGUAUGGGAGCCGAUUCAUUCAACAAAAACUUGAAACUGCCACCAAUGAGGAGAAAAACAUGGUUUUCCAGGAAAUUUUUCCCCAAGCCCUUACAUUGAUGACUGAUGUCUUCGGGAAUUAUGUAAUCCAGAAGUUUUUUGAACAUGGAAUGGCACAUCAGAGGAGAGAAUUAGCUGGCAUACUGUUUGGACAUGUACUAACACUGAGCCUUCAAAUGUAUGGUUGUCGCGUGAUACAGAAGGCAAUAGAAGUAGUUGAUGUGGACCAGAAGAUUAAAAUGGUUGAGGAGCUUGAUGGUCAUAUCAUGCGCUGUGUACGAGAUCAGAAUGGGAAUCAUGUCAUUCAGAAAUGUAUUGAAUGUGUACCAGAAGAUCACAUUCAAUUUAUCAUCUCAACAUUUUUUGGACAAGUUAUUACUCUCUCUACCCAUCCAUAUGGAUGUCGAGUAAUACAGAGAGUAUUGGAACACUGUAGCGAUCCUGAAACUCAAAGUAAAGUGAUGGAGGAAAUCCUGGGAUCUGUAAGCAUGUUGGCACAAGAUCAAUAUGGUAAUUAUGUUGUUCAGCAUGUAUUGGAGCACGGGAAGCCGCACGAGCGCACUACUAUAAUUCAGGAACUAGCUGGGAAGAUCGUGCAAAUGAGCCAGCAGAAGUUUGCCUCUAAUGUUGUUGAGAAGUGUUUAACUUUUUGUAAUUCCCGUGAACGACAGCUACUGGUGAAUGAGAUGCUUGGCACAACUGAUGAAAAUGAGCCUCUUCAGGCUAUGAUGAAAGAUCAGUUUGCGAAUUACGUAGUACAGAAAGUUUUGGAGACUUGUAGCGAUCAACAACGUGAGCUGAUCAUGUCGAGAAUAAAAGUUCACUUGAAUGCUCUGAAGAAAUACACUUACGGAAAGCAUAUUGUUGCCCGUGUUGAAAAGCUAGUUGCUGCUGGGGUCAUUAUUUGCAAGUGAAGUUUGGCUAUCAGUUUUUGCAGGAUACUUAAAAGUUGGAGGAGUGAGAAAAUGAAAAAAAAAAGGAAGGGUCCCUCAUGUUUGGGAAUAGGUUCAAAAUAGUCCUUAAAAAAGAAGAAUCGCUGCUCAGUCCCCAAGUCCUGCUUAGUCUUGUAGGAAAAAGAAAGUUGUACAGCUAACUGAGGCUAGUUUGAGCUACCUAUCUUCCUUUUCUUCCACAUCUAGUGUUUUGGCUCCAUAUAUGUCUUCUAAGGUAUGGGGUAUAUUUGCAAAUAAAGUUGUUGCAUGUACUAGAGGAACUGUAAAUUGUGUAGUUAAAAACAUAAAAAUCAGGUAUGCUGAAGCUCAGAUGUCAAAUAUUCGAGAUGGCUGUGCAGAGGGAAGUCGAGUUUCCAAAAGGGUGUAAAAAGAAAGAUAAAAAGGCGAGGUAGUUUAUAUCGACGCGACUGUACAAAUGUUGCCUUUGUGGAGAGUUGAUGUUUAGGUGAGGAAAUUUUAUGUAUGGUAUUUGACAAAUUUUCUUUUAUGGCCAAGUAUAUUUCCUUUCUCUCA